GGACGGAAGACGGGGCUCUUGAUAAUGGGCCUGGCUGAAAGUGAGGCCCAAAUGGCCAUAGAAAAGCCCAAAAAGAGAAGCGUUCCGGAUUAGGGUUUAUGUUUGACGUCUAUAUGUACUGAUUCUCAUCUGCCGCAUUUCCCUUCUUCUCUAAUUCAAAUCUGCUUUCUAUGUUUCAGAUUCCCAAGUAGAUUCAUGGCGUUUUGUUAUUAUUAUUAUUUGCUUUGAAUUUAUCCCAAUGAAGAAAUCCUUGAAAUUGCAAGUGCCGUAUGACGCUUUGUGAAUGAUUUGACAUGGAUCUCUGAGGGAUUCUUCCUCUUAUUCUUCUCUUUUUAAAUGAAAGAAGAUUUACCGGCGACGCCAUUACCGGAAAUAGUUUUCAACUAACAAUUUCUCGUUACUUUUCACAAAGAAGGCUUUGAUCCUUCGGCUUUCUGGAUGGAAUAUAUCCGCCAUGUUGAGCAAACUCCAUAGUAUUUCUUCAAUUUAAUAUUGGAUGCUUUUAGGGUUCCAAAUUAUUAACCAGGAGGAAAUUACUCGUGUUCUUCUCGUUUUUGAAGUUAGAAUCUACUUUUGAACGAUGCGAAAGUGCUUAAAGGCUUGAACAGUGGAUUUGUAGCUUUACCAUUAUUAUUUUUUUCUUUUUUUCUCUUUUUCAAACAAUCUGUAGAAAUAAAUAAAUAAAAAAAGAGAUAAAGUCGAAGGUAGUGGAAGAACUUGUUUAUUUUUUGGGGUUAAAUUACAUUUUUAUGUGAUAAGUCUGGUGUCUAA